rnacentral:rRNA from 1 species
GAGUUUGAUCAUGGCUCAGGAUGAACGCUGGCGGCGUGCAUAACACAUUCAAGUCGAACGGUGACGAGGACUUCGGUCCUCUGAUCAGUGGCGGACGGGUGAGUAACACGUGGAUAACCUGCCUCACACUGGGGGACAACAGUUAGAAAUGACUGCUAAUACCGCAUAAGCGCACAGUACCGCAUGGUACAGUGUGAAAAACUCCGGUGGUGUGAGAUGGAUCCGCGUCUGAUUAGCUAGUUGGAGGGUAACGGCCCACCAAGGCCGAUGAUCAGUAGCCGGUCUGAGAGGAUGAACGGCCAC